GCACUUGUGACGCCAUCAGAAAUGUUCCGUCUAGUGCCGGGUCAAGCAAGCAAGACGGGGACAGUGCAAUUGAAGAACAAGAACUCUUCGAGCACAUACUCGAAAAAAAAAAAUU